rnacentral:misc_RNA from 1 species
GAAAAAAGAGCCAACUAUCCUUCAAAAAGGUCGCUGGCCAUCUACCACGUUAAUCGUAAUUAUGGAAGAUCGUUCCUUCCUUCAACUACUAAACCAUUAUUAAUUUAAUAUAUAUACUCUCUUUUAACAAUCUACCUCACCACGCUUCUUCUCCUUCUUCACUCUGCAGCUCACUCACCUAGAGCUACUCACGACGCCCUUUCUUAAGCAAACAAAUGGCUCUGAAAUCCUUUAUUCAGGUACAUCCCGAUUCUCACUCCCCUAUCCAGAACCUUCCCUAUGGAGUUUUCAAGCCUCAACCGACUUCGCCGCCUCGACCCGCUGUUGCAAUCGGCGAAUACGCUCUGGACCUCUCCGAGAUUGCUCUUGCCGGCCUUUUCGACGGUCCGAUUCUCAAAGGCUCCGAUUGUUUCCUUCAGCCUAACUUGAACAAAUUUUUGGCCAUGGGAAGGCCGGCGUGGAAGGAAGCUCGUGCCACACUUCAAAAGCUAUUGUCUUCUACUGAACCUGGAUUGCGUGAUAAUGAAAGUUUGAGGCAGAAAUCACUUUUGCCAAUGAGCAAGGUGGAAAUGCUUCUGCCUGUUGCCAUAGGGGACUACACGGACUUCUUUUCUUCGAUGCACCAUGCAAAGAAUUGUGGAACUAUAUUUCGUGGACCGCAGAAUCCUAUUCCAGCAAACUGGUUCCACCUUCCUAUUGCAUAUCAUGGACGAGCAUCAUCUAUUGUUAUAUCUGGAACAGAUAUUGUGAGACCAAGAGGUCAAGGCCAUCCAGCUGGAAAUUCCCCACCUUAU